rnacentral:rRNA from 1 species
UACGGGAGGCAGCAGUGGGGAAUAUUGCACAAUGGAGGAAACUCUGAUGCAGCAACGCCGCGUGGAGGAUGACACAUUUCGGUGCGUAAACUCCUUUUAUUAGGGAAGAUAAUGACGGUACCUAAUGAAUAAGCACCGGCUAACUCCGUGCCAGCAGCCGCGGUAAUACGGGGGGUGCAAGCGUUACUCGGAAUCACUGGGCGUAAAGAGCAUGUAGGCUGGUUUGUAAGUUGGAAGUGAAAUCCUAUGGCUUAACCAUAGAACUGCUUCCAAAACUGCAGACCUAGAGUAUGGGAGAGGUAGAUGGAAUUUCUGGUGUAGGGGUAAAAUCCGUAGAGAUCAGAAGGAAUACCGAUUGCGAAGGCGAUCUACUGGAACAUUACUGACGCUGAGAUGCGAAAGCGUGGGGAGCAAACAGGAUUAGAUACCCUGGUAGUCCACGCCCUAAACGAUGCACACUAGUUGUUGCUAUGCUAGACAUAGCAGUAAUGCAGUUAACACAGUAAGUGUGCCGCCUGGGGAGUACGGUCGCAAGAUUAAAACUCAAAGGAAUAGACGGGGACCCGCACAAGCGGUGGAGCAUGUGGUUUAAUUCGACGAUACGCGAAGAACCUUACCUGGCCUUGACAUAGGAAGAACUUACUAGAGAUAGUUUGGUGCUAGUUUACUAGAACUUCCAUACAGGUGCUGCACGGCUGUCGUCAGCUCGUGUCGUGAGAUGUUGGGUUAAGUCCCGCAACGAGCGCAACCCUCGUGUUUAGUUACUAACAGUUCGGCUGAGGACUCUAGACAGACUGCCUGGGUAACCAGGAGGAAGGUGAGGACGACGUCAAGUCAUCAUGGCCCUUACGGCCAGGGCUACACACGUGCUACAAUGGGGUAUACAAAGAGCAGCGAUACCGCGAGGUGGAGCAAAUCUCAUAAAAUAUCUCCCAGUUCGGAUAGCAGUCUGCAACUCGACUGCUUGAAGUUGGAAUCGCUAGUAAUCGUAGAUCAGCAAUGCUACGGUGAAUACGUUCCCGGGUCUUGUACUCACCGCCCGUCACACCAUGGGAGUUGAUUUCAUUCGAAGCGGGGAUGCUAAAAUAGCUACCUUCCACAGUGGAAUUAGCGACUAGGGUGAAGUCGUAACAAGGUAACCGUAGGAGAACCUGCGGUUG